CCAUAGCCCUGAUCGCAGCGGCAUCCUUUUGCGGAGCGAAGCGCAGCAAAAGAUACAGCGGAGAGCAGGUUCCCGG
rfam:Chryseobacterium haifense DSM 19056 contig02, whole genome shotgun sequence.